UGUGCAUGAUGAUAGUGCAACUACAGUGGUCACCAGGACAACAGGCACAGCCUGUCAAACUGAUAAGAACCUGGUCAGCUGGGAUUACACUGGAGAGAGCAAGACUGAGGCGAUGAAUGUAAUACACAGCAGUGAACUGCAAGUGGCAUUUUGUUUUCCCCUUAGGGAGAGAGAAUGAGGACAACCAUGAGAGCAAAAAGAAAGAAGAGGGUCUGAAGAGAAGAGUCUUACAGCUUCAAGGCCCAUGGUCUGACUAUUUUACCAGUGCAGAAACAGAUGUGAAACACAACCUGGAAAGAAAACCAGUUGAAAGUGGAAGGCAAGUCCAUUUUAUCAUGUUGUGUAUAGCAUAUGGCAGGGGGAUGUGACAGACAGAUUUAUCAAAGUAAUACAGCCUUGUCAGAAUAAGAACUGUGCAUAUCCUGGCAAAGUCCAAGAAUCCUGAUAAGACCAUUCCUUGUAAAACUGAUAAGAAAUAUUGUCCUGGCUGUUUGAGGGACAUUCAUGGACACAGCAGGGCUUCUGCCAGAGCAAGGCUUGCAUUAGCUAUGUUCAAAAUAAGGUCUGGAAAUGCACGUCACGCUGGUCAAGCUCUAAUCUAAAAAGGAACUGGGGAGCAAGACAAGUACUGUCACGUUGUAUGCCAUGGGAUCAGGCAGACAUACCAGCCAGUGAUAAAGGGAUAGGUAAUGGUUAAAGGUCUCCUCCCCACCUUUGCUCUCUGCUCCUUCCUGGACAGAGAGGAAGAACUUCAGUCUCUUUCUGCUGUCUCCCAGAUGUGAAUUGUCUCAUUAGAAAGGUGCCCCAGCAUUCAGCACCCUCUCUGUGCCUGCACAUUAGCGAAAGGGCAACUGCAAAGCCAGCUGCACAAAUAUCUCUGCUUGGCAGGACUGUGAUAUGAGAUUCUCACAAUGGUCCAACACAUUCAAGGCCUCAGAGAGCACAACAAAGCAACGUCAAGAAACAGAAAAAUGUCAUCAAGGCCAAAUAGGUGGGUUUCUUGCAUUUGUUUUGCAUCUCAGUCAAAACAGACAGGCAUAGUGCAGGGAGACAAAGAGGCCUUUCUCAGCAAGCAGUGUGGCAUGCACUCCUGGGUCACCUUGGGCAGCUUUUGUCUGCUGAGUCCCCUUUCCCCGUUUUGAUUGUAGCUGCAUCUUUUCUGCAUCAUACUUAAUGCAUGCCCACCUCUGCCCUCAACCACAAGCUGUUUCUGCUUAGCUAAUGCUUUUCUUGGCAAGCACAGCCAGGCAAGCCAGAGUUCAGUCUGCACUCCACUCAGCUGAAGCACAGAUGACUGGCUCUGGGAAAUGCUGCAGAGCUAUGGCCAAAAUGAACUGAAGUCACUUACAUGGAGCUGCAAAUUGCUCUGUGUUGGUACUUGGCCAGUUUGAUUCUGGCCCAUGACCGGGCAUCCAGCCACAGCCAAAGGACAAAUCAAAAUAAACAAACCAGGAGUUUCUUCUAAGGACAUUUUAUGAAGAGAUUUUCAAAGAAGGAUUUAAGAACAGAAUCCUGUCUGUCCUUAAUGCCUUGGCAUGGACUGUGCACAAUGACAGACUCUCUCAAAAGCUUUAAACAUGGUGUUAAGUGGGAAAUGGGCAAGAUAUAGGACAAGAGUUAAGACUUACAGGGCUUCUCACAGCUCUAUCACAGCUCUCCCUUGCAAGUGACACAUGCCAAGCUUUCAGAAGCAGAGUGAGUGGCUGAGGCUUAUGUGCUGCUGAGUAAAGGCUUACAAAUUUGUCUUUAUUUUAUCUGAUGUUUUUAUUUACUUGUAGAGAAGCAGUCCUCAGUUAGCACUACAUCAAAGAGCCUGAUAAUUAAUGAGCCCAUGACUAAUAACUCUCCUUUGAUUCUCUUGUUUUCAUUACUGAGGUUUUUUGAGGAAUAGGUUAUAGAGCCUCUUGUGCAAUAGCCCUGUGCAGAGUCCACAGAUGUAGGGACAUAGAUCUCCCAGAAACUAUAAAAUCAUAGAAUCACAGAAUGGUGGGGGUUGGAAGGAACUUUUAGAGAUCAUCCAGUCCAAUCCCCUGCCAAAGCAGGUCCCACCUAGAUCAGGUCACACAGGAAUGCGUCCAGGCAGGUCUUAAAGACUUCCAGAGAAGGAGCCUCCACACCCUCCCUGAGCAGCCUGGUCCAUCACUGUGGCAAACACAAGACUGCUUGCAGAUCUGGAGCACGCACAAGCAUCAGGGAUACCGUCUUCUCCAUUAGAUCUGCCAAGCAGAAGCACAAACAGAAUCCCUAGCUGGGCCUCAGUACUGCUCUCAAAACCCAGCUCUCCCACCAAUGCCUUCAUACUAUUCUUAAGCAAAGAAACUCCACGCUCACAGGAGCAGAAUAGAAGAACAAAACAUGCUGUAGCAGCAGUCCAGACCCCUAGAAACUAGCUCAGCAGCCCCAUGUUUCUGCCAACAAGAGAAGGACUUUGAGAGCGCUUGAGAUCUCCGAGGUCACCCCAGACUGCGAGGAGGUUCUGCAGCCAGGCUCUCAAAUCCAGGGGCUACCACACCUUCCUCUUAGGAAAAAUAGAAGCCAACGACUAACUAACUCUAAGCACUCAUUACUCUUUUUUCACUACUUGGAGUUAACAUCUGCUGGGAAAUCAAUACUAAUUAUCACAGCACUGGUUGCCAGACAAUCAGUGGCCAAAGGAAACGGAUGAGAGAGGAUGGAUAUGUGGAAGUGCUGGCAAAGCACGACAGGUGCAGAAGGCCUGAGCAAUUUCUUUAAUGAAAUGGAAAUGAAAGCAUAAAUCUCUAAAAUGAUACUGGAAAAGAGAUUUAACUUAAGGCACAGGCAGACAGAUUUUGAUGUCUGAAGUCUGGCAAUGACAAGUAGCAGUGAAAUGUAAAUGCAGUGGUUGCUAAUGGGCAUAAUGAACAGGAAGGCAGCUUUGACAGUACUUUCUCAGCUGGAAGCUCUAUUCCUCAGGGACUCCUGAUCUUCUACACCCACUUCUUUGAGCAACCAUGUAAAUGUAGCAGGCAGAUUUGCCAGCCUCAAGCAUGCAACUGCUGGAUAAUGCUAGUGGUUGCCAGUUAGGUCCAUGGCCAAAGCUGCUACUUGGACAAACUCAGGAAACCUGCCUUCUCCAAUUCCUAUCAUCACCAACACUUCCACCUACUGCUGAGACACAUGGAGAAAAGACAGCUCUCCAAGCUGAAGGCAUCUCUCUUUCACAGACCUCCGAACUGUGCUGUGCCAAAUUCACCUCCCAAUCAAACUUCCACCCCAUCUGUGCUUUUCAUUCAUUUCUGAGAGUUUGCCUUUGUUUUUUUGCCUCUUUAAACACAGACAGCCUGAGUUUUAUUUGCUCAAAGGAUUUUUUAUUUUGGCCUUUCAUCCAAAUAACCACUGUCUGUAAAAUUCCAAACAGACUCUUCCCACAGGCAAAAAAACACCCAGCCAAGUGCCACCCCAAAGGUAAAGGUACGCUACUGAAAAGUCACCAACAUCUACAAAAACCAUGCAAGGCAAAUCAACAUGCUCCUGUUCAAAACACACAAUGAAAAUCCAUGGUAUCCUAGCAAACACAGUGAGAUCACUCAAAUGGAGUACAUGCAGCCUGACAGUCCAAACACACACUUUUCUAACACACUGCUGAAGAUAUGAACUGCUUAAAAUUCAGCAAUGCACAUGACAACCUUCAGCCUUUCUCUCAGCUCUCAUGAAUGGGUAUUACUCAGCUGUUCAGGAAGCUUGACAGUUCUUCCAGAUGUACAAUUGGUCUAAGAAAAGAUACAUUACUACUAUUAUUUUGGAAAGGGCAUUCCCAUAAACAUACAUCCAGCCAGAGCUGGGAGAGUUGGAGAGUCAGGUCCAGCAUCUUUAGCACUGCUCCCCACCCUCUGCAUUACAUCCUGAUAGGAAACCCUGGGAUACAGAAAAAGUAUCAUUUUCCCUUAGUCUUUACAGCUAUCAGAGACUAGUUGAUAUUCUGCAGAGAAGGCUGGUCGCUUCUUUUUGCUGAGACACCUCCCUUACAUCAGCAGACACACUGGAAGAGAAAGAGGGAGGGCAGGAGGGAGCCUCAUGGUGUCUACUGAGGCAGUAUCAAGAGAUCUGGAGCAGAGCCUGUCCCACGCUGCCAGCUGAACACCAAGCCCCUGCAGGGCACUCAGAUCUAAAGACUAGCUGGGAGAUUUUAGCAUUUCUGCAUAGUAAUAGAAGGAAUGUAAAUAACUACUAUAAAUAAUGGCUGUAUGUGCAUCAUAUGGUGCUCUCAGGUGUUUUUUUUCUCUGAUUCCUGAACUACUACUAAUAGCUAACAGGAAUGCUAAUGUUACAGAGCAUGGAAAGGAAGACAUUUCACAGUGAGUCUCCCCAAGAUGAACAGUGGGCUGCCAGCCAGCAAUGAUUGUAGAGCUUUUGAACAGUAAAACCAGAAUUAACCUCUGCCCCAUCCUUCUGAUUGGUGCCUAGUGUCAAUCCCACUGGAUUUUGGACCCGUGCUUCCCCAAAGGUUGCAUAUUCAAACCUGGUAUGUAAAUAAUUAAACUCACUCUCCACAUUGCCAAGGCAGGAAGAAGAAAGGCUAUUGCUAUUCAGGGUUCAGUGUAACUAUACAUAACCCUGGCCCUCCUUCCAUCCUUCUGAAAUUACUGAAAUUCCAGCCAAAGCCGUGAAGACAGCACGAUGAGGAAUCACUCACUCAGCUGCUAAAGUGUUCCUGCCCUCACUGGACAAAAUAACAGCCUCUGGGAGAUAACACAGCUUACAGCAGAGGGAAAAAACAUUCUUCAAGGUCAGGGUUACCAAAUGGUAUUGAAACAGGGUUGUGCUUACAGCCAACCACAUCACUGACAGAUGACAAACUUGCUGAUGGAUAAACCACAGCCAGGACACAAAGUUGUCUAUCAGAGAAUGUAAACACACAUGAUUGCAAUGCCCAUUUUUGAAGAUUUACCUUUUAAAUGUAGACCUGUACUAGGAUUUUCAAUAGAAUUUUUAUUUUGCAGCUUUAUCACAGGCAUUGACUCUUGGUUAUUUCUAAUAAAAACUGUC